rnacentral:lncRNA from 10 species
GUCGAGGGGACACAAGAUGCUGUGGAUAAAAAAGGAAGCCGCUAUUCUCCUGGACCAGAAGAGCAAGGCCAGAAAGAGGUGGAGCUGCAAAAUAUGUGAAGCAAAAACUGCAAAAUAUGUGAAGCAAAAAUUGAUAGGACUGAAAGGAGGAACAGACAAACCCACAGUCAUGGUUGAAAACUUUGAUACUCCUUUCUCAACCAUUAGCAGAAUACCCAGACAGAAAUCAGCAAGGACAUGGAAAACUCAACACUGCUGAGCACCAGGAUGGAAUCAACAUUUAUGGAACGCUUCACCCAAUAAUAGCAGUGUCCAUAGAAUAUAUGUGAAAUAGACUGUAUCUUGGGCCGUAAAACAAACCUUAAUGAAUUUAAAAGAACGAAAAGGAUACAGUGUGUUUUUCAACUACAUUGAAAUAAAAAUAGAAAUCUAUAAAAAAGAUAGGAGGAAAAUCUCUAAACACAUAGAAAUUAACAAUACACUUACAGGAGGAAAAUCUCUAAACACAUAGAAAUUAACAAUACACUUCUAAAUAAUCUAUGGGUCAAACAGGAAGUCUCAAGGGAAAUAAAGAAAACUAACUAAAUGUAAGUCAAAUUACAAUGUAUCAAAAUUUGUGGGACACAGCUAAUGCAGCAAUGAGAGGGAAAUUUGUAACACUAAAUGUGUACAUUAAAAAAAGGAAAACUCUUAAAUCCAUAAUCUAAGCUCCUAUCUCAAGAACCUAAAAAAAAUUGCAAAAUAAGCCAAAAACAAGCAGAAGGAAUAAAAUGAGAAGAUUAGAAUACAAAUCAAUAAAAUUGAAAACAGAAAAUAGUAAAAAAUCAGUGAAACAGAGAACUGGCUCUUUGAAAAGAUCAAUAAAAUUGAGAAACAUCUUGCAAAACUGACAAAGACAAAAAGAAAAGACACAAAUUACCAACAUUAGGCAGGAAACAGGCUAUCUUUAUUGACCCUGAACAUGUCAAAAGAAUAAUAAAGGAAUACUAUGAGUAACUCUACACACAUAUACCUGAAAAUGUAGACAAAAUAAACCAAUUCCUGGAAAACCAAAAACGACCACAACUUACCCAACAUGAAGUAGAUUGAAUAGUUUUAUAACUACUAAGGAAAUCAAAUUUGUAAUUUAAAAAUUCCCCAGAACAUCUUCAGGCCCAGAUGGUUUCAUCAGAGAAUUCUACCAUAUGUUUAAAGAAGAGUUAACAACCAGUUCUACACAAUCUCUUUCAGAAAAUAGAAAGAAAGAAAAACUUCUCUAUUCAUUUUUUUAAAAGCUAGUAUUGCCCUGAUAUCAAAACUCGACAAAAACAGCACAAAAAAGGAAAAUUACAGACCAAUAUUCCUUAUGAGUAUAGACACAAGAAUCCUUAAUAAACUAUUAGCAAAUAGAAUUCAGCAACGUAUAAAAUAAAUUAUAUACCAUGACAAUGUGAGGCUUAUUACAGGAAACAAAGUUGAUUUAAUAUUUGAUAAUAAGCCAAUGGAAGCCACCAUAUUAUCAGGCUAAAGAAGUAAAAUUUCAUGAUCAUAUCAAUCAUGGUAGAAAAAACAUUUGACAAAAUUCAAUAAUUCAUGAUAAAAAAACUCUCAGAAAAUGGAAUAGGGAGAACUUUGUCAACAUUGUAAAGAGCACCUACAAAAAAAUCUAUAGCCAAUGUUAAAUUCAAUAGUGAAAGACUGAAUGUUUUCUCCGUUUUAUCAGGACUUAAGCAAGACUGUUUACUCUUACUAGUCUUAUUCAGCAUAGUGCUGGAUGUCCUAACUGGUACAAUAAGGCAAGAAAAAAAAAUAAAAGACAUACAGUUUGGAAAGAAACAAAUAAAACUAUCCCUAUUUGAAGAUGACAUAAUAACCCACUUAGAAAAUCCCCAAGAAUUCACCAAAAAAAAAAAAAAAAUUCUUAGGGCUAAUGAGUAAGUUCAGCAAAAUACAAGAUAAACAUCCAAAAAUUGAUUGUAUUUCAUAUAUUAUCAAUGAAACCCUGAAGACUGAAAUAAAAAUACUAACAUUAUUUAUAAUUAUUCAAGAACAAAAACGAAAUACUUAGAUGUAAAUCUAUAAAAACAUGAAUAGUACUGGUAUGAUGAAAACUACAAAACACUGAUGAAAGAAAUUUAAAAAAAUGAAGAGAUAUACAGUGUUCAUGGAUUGGAAGACUCAACAUAUUACAGAUGUCAAUGCUCCCCAAAUUGAUAUACAGGUUUAACACAAUUUCUACUAAAAUUCCAAUAGGAUUUUUUUGUGGAUAUAGUCAAGAUUGUUAUACAAUUUAUAUAAAAUAAGGAAGUAGUAUAGCUAAAAUAUUUCAAAAAAGUUAAGGAAGAGGAAACAAUCUACCCAGUUUUGACCUAUUACGUAAUCAAGACUAUGAGGUACUGGUGAAGGGAUAGACAUAUAGAUCAAUAGAACACAACAGAAAACCCAGCAAUAGACUCAUACAAAUAUGCCCAACUGAUUUUUGACAAAGGUGCAAAACAGUUCAUCAGAGGAACGAUAAGUUUUCCAAGAAAUGAUGCUGAAGCAGUUGGACAUUCACAAACAAAAAAAUGAAGCCUCACCAUAAACCUCACCCAUUAUAUAAACAUUAACUCAAAAUUAAUCACAGACUUAAAUGUAAAACAUAAACUUAUCACGUUUUUUAAAAUGGGAGAAAAUCUUUAGGACCUUGAGCUGGACUAAGAGUCUUAGACUUGACACCAAAUGUACAAUUCAUGAAAGGAAAAAUUGAUAAACUGUAUUUUAUCAAGACUAAAAAGUUUUGCUUUGCAAAAAACCCUGUGAAGAGUUGAAAAGAUGAGCUACAGAGUAGGGGGUCGUAUUCGUAAACCACAUAUCUGACAAAGGAUUAGAAUGUAGCAUUUACAAAAUACUUUCAAAACUCAAGAAUAAAAAAUUGAACAAUCCAAUUAGAACAUGGGCAAAAGAAAUGAAGAGACAUUUCUCUGAAGAACAUAAACAGAUGGCUAAUAAGCACAUGAAAAGAUGUUCACCAUCAUUAGCCAUUGGGAAAUGUAAAUUAAAACUAUAACGAGAUAUUACCACAUAUGGGUCAGAAUGGGUAAAAUCAAAAAUAGUAGCAACACCACAUUUUGGUGAGGAUGCAGAGAAAUGGAAUCACUCAUACAUUGCUGGUGGGAAUGUAAAAUGGCAUAGCCACUCUGGAAAACAGUUUGGCAGUUUCUUGAAAAACUAAACAUGCAACUACCUUAUGACCCAUCAAUUGUACUCCUGUGCAUUUAUUCCAGAGAAAUAAUGCAUGCAAAACCUAUACAUGCAUGUUUAUAGAAGCUUUGUUUGUAAUAGCCCUAAAUUGGAAAUAACCCAGUUGUCCUUCGACAGGUGAAUGGUUAAACUGUGGUCCAUCCCACCAUGGAAUAUUACUCAUCAAUAAAAAGGAAUGAACUACUGACAUAUACAACAAAGUGGACAAUGGACUCUCCAGUGAAUUACUUAGUGAAAAAAGUAAAUCCCAAAAGGUUAUACUAUACAAUUCAAUUUAUAUAACAUUCUUGAAAUGACAAAAUUAUAAAAGUCUAUUACAGAUGUGUGGUUAACAGAAGUUAAGGAUGGAGGAAGGGAAGAAGGUGACUGGAAAGUGAAAGUGGCUAUCAAAGGAUAAGAUGGGGAGUCCUUGUGGUGAUGGAAAUGUUCUGAAUCUUGACUCUAUCAAUGAUAAUAUCUUCUUUGUGAUAUCACUAUGGAUUUACAAGAUGCAGCCACUGGGGGGAAACUGGGUAAAGAGAACACCCAUUCUCUCUGUAUUAUUUCUGACAACCGCAUGGGAAUUUACAUUUAUCUCUUAAAAUGAAACAUUUAAUUUAAAACAUUAUUUUUUUUUACUUCCAGUUGCUUUUAAAAUAAAAUGCAAACAAAAUGUGGCCCACAGGUGUCCACUGAUCCUAUCCUCUGCCUAACACCGCAACCUCUUAUUGUACCACGUUUCUAACUCCAGCCACAUUGUCGCUUUACUUUAAUGACAUUGAGCUCUCUUCUACUCCUGGUUCUUUGCAUUUGCUGUUUCCUCUGCUUGGGAAUGCUCUCUCCCCAGCUCUUUACAU